GAUGAACGCUGGCGGCGUGCCUAAUACAUGCAAGUCGAGCGAACAGACGAGGAGCUUGCUCCUCUGACGUUAGCGGCGGACGGGUGAGUAACACGUGGAUAACCUACCUAUAAGACUGGGAUAACUUCGGGAAACCGGAGCUAAUACCGGAUAACAUGUUGAACCGCAUGGUUCAACAGUGAAAGACGGUCUUGCUGUCACUUAUAGAUGGAUCCGCACCGCAUUGUUAGUUGGUAAGGUAACGGCUUACCAAGGCAACGAUGCGUAGCCGACCUGAGAGGGUGAUCGGCCACACUGGAACUGAGACACGGUCCAGACUCCUACGGGAGGCAGCAGUAGGGAAUCUUCCGCAAUGGGCGAAAUCCUGACGGAGCAACGCCGCGUGAGUGAAGAAGGUCUUCGGAUCGUAAAACUCUGUUAUUAGGGAAGAACAAAUGUGUAAGUAACUAUGCACGUCUUGACGGUACCUAAUCAGAAAGCCACGGCUAACUACGUG
rnacentral:rRNA from 1 species